AGUGGCGAACGGGUGAGUAACACGUGGGUGAUCUGCCCUGCACUUUGGGAUAAGCCUGGGAAACUGGGUCUAACACCGAAUAGGAUCAUGCUCUUCAUGGGGUGUGGUGGAAAGCUUUUGCGGUGUGGGAUGGGCCCGCGGCCUAUCAGCUUGUUGGUGGGGUAAUGGCCUACCAAGGCGACGACGGGUAGCCGGCCUGAGAGGGUGACCGGCCACACUGGGACUGAGAUACGGUCCAGACUCCUACGGGAGGCAGCAGUGGGGAAUAUUGCACAAUGGGCGCAAGCCUGAUGCAGCGACGCCGCGUGAGGGAUGACGGCCUUCGGGUUGUAAACCUCUUUCACCAGGGACGAAGCGCAAGUGACGGUACCUGGAGAAGAAGCACCGGCCAACUACGUGCCAGCAGCCGCGGUAAUACGUAGGGUGCGAGCGUUGUCCGGAAUUACUGGGCGUAAAGAGCUCGUAGGUGGUUUGUCGCGUUGUUCGUGAAAACUCACAACUCAAUUGUGGGCGUGCGGGCGAUACGGGCAGACUAGAGUACUGCAGGGGAGACUGGAAUUCCUGGUGUAGCGGUGGAAUGCGCAGAUAUCAGGAGGAACACCGGUGGCGAAGGCGGGUCUCUGGGCAGUAACUGACGCUGAGGAGCGAAAGCGUGGGGAGCGAACAGGAUUAGAUACCCUGGUAGUCCACGCCGUAAACGGUGGGUACUAGGUGUGGGUUCCUUCCUUGGGAUCCGUGCCGUAGCUAACGCAUUAAGUACCCCGCCUGGGGAGUACGGCCGCAAGGCUAAAACUCAAAGGAAUUGACGGGGGCCCGCACAAGCGGCGGAGCAUGUGGAAUAAUUCGAUGCAACGCGAAGAACCUUACCUGGGUUUGACAUGCACAGGACGCCGGCAGAGAUGUCGGUUCCCUUGUGGCCUGUGUGCAGGUGGUGCAUGGCUGUCGUCAGCUCGUGUCGUGAGAUGUUGGGUUAAGUCCCGCAACGAGCGCAACCCUUGUCCUAUGUUGCCAGCGGGUUAUGCCGGGGACUCGUAGGAGACUGCCGGGGUCAACUCGGAGGAAGGUGGGGAUGACGUCAAGUCAUCAUGCCCCCUAUGUCCAGGGCUUCACACAUGCUACAAUGGCCGGUACAAAGGGCUGCGAUGCCGUGAGGUGGAGCGAAUCCUUUCAAAGCCGGUCUCCGUUCGGAUCGGGGUCUGCAACUCGACCCCGUGAAGUCGGAGUCGCUA
rnacentral:rRNA from 1 species